CCUACGGGAGGCAGCAGUGAGGAAUAUUGGUCAAUGGGCGGAAGCCUGAACCAGCCAUGCCGCGUGCGGGAAGAAGGCGCUACGCGUCGUAAACCGCUUUUGUCCGGGGGUAACCGCGGGGACGUGUCCCCGCCUGCAAGUACCGGACGAAUAAGGGUCGGCUAACUCCGUGCCAGCAGCCGCGGUAAUACGGAGGACCCGAGCGUUAUCCGGAUUCAUUGGGUUUAAAGGGUGCGUAGGCGGCCCGGUAAGUCAGCGGUGAAAGGCUCCUGCUCCACAGGAGAGCUGCCGUUGAUACUGCUGGGCUAGAAUCUUAGCGAGGCGGGCGGAAUGCGCGGUGUAGCGGUGAAAUGCAUAGAUAUCGCGCAGAACGCCGAUUGGGGAGCCAGCUCGCCAGCUGACCAUUGACGCUGAGGCACGAAAGCGUGGGGAUCGAACAGGAUUAGAUACCCUGGUAGUCCACGCCGUAAACGAUGAUGGCUCGCUCUUGGCCCGCAGGGGUCAGGGGCUUAGCGAAAGCGUUAAGCCAUCCACCUGGGGAGUACGCCGGCAACGGUGAAACUCAAAGGAAUUGACGG
rnacentral:rRNA from 1 species